rnacentral:rRNA from 1 species
GAUGCAAACUGCGAAUACCGGAGAAUGUUAUCACGGGAGACACACGGCGGGUGCUAACGUCCGUCGUGAAGAGGGAAACAACCCAGACCGCCAGCUAAGGUCCCAAAGUCAUGGUUAAGUGGGAAACGAUGUGGGAAGGCCCAGACAGCCAGGAUGUUGGCUUAGAAGCAGCCAUCAUUUAAAGAAAGCGUAAUAGCUCACUGGUCGAGUCGGCCUGCGCGGAAGAUGUAACGGGGCUAAACCAUGCACCGAAGCUGCGGCAGCGACACUCAGGUGUUGUUGGGUAGGGGAGCGUUCUGUAAGCCUGCGAAGGUGGCCUGUGAGGGUUGCUGGAGGUAUCAGAAGUGCGAAUGCUGACAUAAGUAACGAUAAAGCGGGUGAAAAGCCCGCUCGCCGGAAGACCAAGGGUUCCUGUCCAACGUUAAUCGGGGCAGGGUGAGUCGACCCCUAAGGCGAGGCCGAAAGGCGUAGUCGAUGGGAAACGGGUUAAUAUUCCCGUACUUGGUGUUACUGCGAAGGGGGGACGGAGAAGGCUAUGUUGGCCGGGCGACGGUUGUCCCGGUUUAAGCGUGUAGGUGUGUGUUCCAGGUAAAUCCGGUUCACUUUAACACUGAGGCGUGA